rnacentral:rRNA from 1 species
UUCCCUUCGGGGCAGCGGUGACAGGUGGUGCAUGGUUGUCGUCAGCUCGUGUCGUGAGAUGUUGGGUUAAGUCCCGCAACGAGCGCAACCCUUAUCUUUAGUUGCCAGCAUUCAGUUGGGCACUCUAGAGAGACUGCCGUCGACAAGACGGAGGAAGGCGGGGAUGACGUCAAAUCAUCAUGCCCCUUAUGACCUGGGCUACACACGUGCUACAAUGGCUGGUACAACGGGAAGCUAGCUCGCGAGAGUAUGCCAAUCUCUUAAAACCAGUCUCAGUUCGGAUUGCAGGCUGCAACUCGCCUGCAUGAAGUCGGAAUCGCUAGUAAUCGCGGAUCAGCAUGCCGCGGUGAAUACGUUCCCGGGCCUUGUACACACCGCCCGUCACACCACGGGAGUUUGCAACACCC